rnacentral:rRNA from 1 species
CCUACGGGUGGCUGCAGUGAGGAAUAUUUGUCAAUGGACGGAAGUCUGAACCAGCCAUGCCGCGUGCAGGAAGACGGCCCUAUGAGUUGUAAACUGCUUUUGUACAUGGGUAAACCUGCACACGUGUAUUCAGCUGAAAGUACUUUAUGAAUAAGGAUCGGCUAACUCCGUGCCAGCAGCCGCGGUAAUACGGAGGAUCCGAGCGUUAUCCGGCUUUAUUGGGUUUAAAGGGUGCGUAGGUGGGUUGAUAAGUUAGAGGUGAAAUGUGCGGGCUUAACUCGGGAACUGCCUCUAAUACUGGUGAUCUUGAGAGUAGGUGAGGUAGGCGGAAUGUAUGGUGUAGCGGUGAAAUGCUUAGAUAUCAUACAGAACACCGAUUGCGAAGGCAGCUUACCAAUCUAUAACUGACGUUGAGGCACGAAAGCGUGGGGAGCAAACAGGAUUAGAUACCCCAGUAGUC